CAAACUAACAGAAAUAGGUCAGGAACGUGACAGGAACAAUUAAACAACACAAUGUAACUCCAAGUCAAUCACACUUCUGUGAAAUCAAACUGUCCACUUAGGAAGCAACACUGAUUGACAAUAAAUUUCACAUGCUGUUGUGCAAAUGGAAUGCAAAAGGUGGAAAUUAUAGGCAAUUAGCAAGACACCCCCAAAAAAGGAGUGAUUCUGCAGGUGGUGACCACAGCCACUUCUCAGUUCCUAUGCUUCCUGGCUGAUGUUUUGGUCACUUUUGAAUGCUGGCGGUGCUUUCACUCUAGGGGUAGCAUGAGACGGAGUCUACAACCCACACAAGUGGCUCAGGUAGUGCAGCUCAUCCAGGAUGGCACAUCAAUGCAAGCUGUGGCAAGAAGGUUUGCUGUGUCUGUCAGCGUAGUGUCCAGAGCAUGGAGGCGCUACCAGGAGACAGGCCAGUACAUCAGGAGACGUGGAGGAGGCCGUAGGAGGGCAACAACCCAGCAGCAGGACCGCUACCUCCGCCUUUGUGCAAUGAGGAACACUGCCAGAGCCCUGCAAAAUGACCUCCAGCAGGCCACAAAUGUGCCAAAAAUGUUUUAUAUAUAUGUAUAUAUAUAUAUUUUAAUGAUCAGAACAUUAACCAUGUGUGUUCGCUUGUUUUGUACUGUUCUGUAGUUUCGACCCAAUGAUUUGUCUGACAAACAAAGAACUUUGCAUCCUAUAAGCCAGGGCAUGGAUCAAAGCUGGCGAGACAUUCAAUAAUGUCAUCUUCACAGACUAAUCAACCGUGGCCCUUGAGCAAUUUUCUCAAAAUUGCUACAGAAAAAAAGGAAGAAGAUCAAGCAAGCCGAGUCCCAAACAUCCGCUCAAACUCCAUGUGUGGGUGGCAAUUUCUCGCCAGGGACCAGACCCAUAUUUGAUUUUUGAUGGUAAGUUUGGCUAUUUACAAAGCAAAAGGUACAUAAAAUAUUGUAGCCUACACCCCACGGACUGUUAUGUGUUUGUCACGUUCCUGACCUGUUUUCUGUUGUUUUGUAUGUGUGUGAUGGUCAGGGCGUGAGUUUUGGGUGGGCAGUCUAUGUUUUCUGUUUCUAUGUUGGUUUUGGGUUGCCUGGUAUGGCUCUUAAUUAGAGGCAGGUGUUUUGCGUUUUCCUCUAAUUGAGAGUCAUAUUAAGGUAGGUUGUUCUCACUGUUUGUUUGUGGGUGAUUGUCGCUGUGUCUGUGUUUGUUGCACCACACGGUACUGUCUCGUCUCGUUCUUUCGGUCGUUCCUGUUCAUGUGUUCUUCGUUUCAUGUAAGUUCGUAGUUUAGGUCUGUCUAGUUCGUUUUGUUAUUUUGUAUAUUUAGUCAAGUGUAUUUCGUGUCUGUCUUCGUCUUACAAUAAAGUAUUAUGUAUUCAUCACCCGCUGCGCCUUGGUCUACUAACUGUCCGAAAGACGACCGUUACAGAAUCACCCACCAAACCCAGAUCAAGCAGCGGGUUAACGGACAGCAACGACAGCAGCAGUGGGAAAAGGAGGAUUGGACAUGGGAAGAGAUCCUGGACGGUAAAGGACCCUGGGCACAGCCAGAGGAGUGUCGCCGUUCCAAGGCGGAGCUGGAGGCAUUUAAAGCGGAGAGGCGACGUUAUGAGGCAGCACGGAAGCAAGGCUGGAAGCCCGCAAGUACUACCCAAUUUUUUUUACAUUUUAUCCCCUUUUCUCCCCAAUUUUCGUGGUAUCCAAUCGCUAGUAAUUACUAUCUUGUCUCAUCGCUACAACUCCCGUACGGGCUCGGGAGAGACGAAGGUCGAAAGUCAUGCGUCCUCCGAAGCACAACCCAACCAAGCCGCACUGCUUCUUUAACACAGCGCGCCUCCAACCCGGAAGCCAGCCGCACCAAUGUGUCGGAGGAAACACCGUGCACCUGGCCCCCUUGGUUAGCACGCACUGCGCCCAGCCCGCCACAGGAGUCGCUGGAGCGCGAUGAGACAAGGAAAUCCCUACCGGCCAAACCCUCCCUUACCCGGACGACGCUAGCCCAAUUGUGCGUCGCCCCGCGGACCUCCCGGUCGCGGCCGACUGCGACAGAGCCUGGGGGCGAACCCAGAGACUCUGGUGGCGCAGUUAGCUCUGCGAUGCAGUGCUCUAGACCACUGCGCCACCCGGGAGGCCCCGUUAUUUUGUAUAUUUAGUCAAGUGUAUUUCGUGUCUGUCUUCGUCUUACAAUAAAGUAUUAUGUAUUCAUCACCCGCUGCGCCUUGGUCUACUAACUGUCCGAAAGACGACCGUUACAGUGUUCCACAAUAAUUCACUCUUGCCUCCUUUUUCAGGUAUCAUGGCUCGAGAUUUCUUUGUAAUCAACAAGAGAUAUGCUGGACCCUAUGUCAGAGAGGUGUUUCUGGGUACACAUCUGUAGGAUUUUAGCAGUAUUUUGUUAGGUUUAGGCCUAUUUACAUGUAUAUUUCUAUUAUUGUACCUAAUGUUGGCUGUUAGGCUAAAUGUAUUUUUUUUCAUCUCCAAUUGCAGACAAUGACCCAAAACACAUUGCCGCCCGGGUUUGCAUUGCAGAUGAGGGCAUAAACAGGGUCAAGACGCCAGCGGAGUCUCCUGAUUUACAACGCAUCACCGGGUGCAAACUACCUGCUCUCCAUGACACCUACACCACCCGAUGUCACAGGAAGGCCUUAAAGAUCAUCAAGGACAAUAACCACCCGAGCCACUGCCUGUUCACCCCGCUUCCAUCCAGAAGGCGAGGUCAGUACAGGUGCAUCAAAGCAGGGACCGAGAGACUGAAAAACAGCUUCUAUCUCAAGGCCGUCAGACUGUUGAACAGCGACCACUAACAUUGAGUGGCUGCUGCCAACAUACGGACUCAACUCCAGCCACUUUAACAAUGUCAUUUUUAUUUUAAAUUUUUAAUCACUAGCCACUUUAAACAAUGUCACUUCAUAUAUUGUUUACAUACCCUACAUUACUCAUCUCAUAUGUAUAUACUGUACUCGAUACCAUCUACUGCAUCUUGCCUAUGCCACUCUGUACCAUCACUCAUUCAUAUAUUUUUAUGUACAUAUUCUUCAUUCCUUUACACUUGUGUGUAUAAAGUAGUUGUUGUGAAAUUGUUAGGUUAGAUCACUCGUUGGUUAUUACUGCAUUGUCGGAACUAGAAGCACAAGCAUUUCGCUACACUCGCAUUAACAUCUGCUAACCAUGUGUAUGUGACAAAUCAAAUUUGAUUUGAUUUAAACCCGAUCGAACUUGUUUGGCAUCAACUGAAAACAUUCAUCCGUAACUCUGCCAAGCCGACAAGCAAAGAUGAACUGGUCAAGGCCAUCAAGAUGUUUUGGCUAGAGAAAUUGACGAUACAACAAAUACAUUGAUCAUCUCAGCAAGGUUUUACCUGUGAUCGUGGAGCUGGGUGGAAGUGUGACUAAAAUGUAGUUUAUAUAAACAUCUGCAUUUGAAUGUCUUUUUUCUCGUUAUUUUAUUUUACUAACGAAAGCAUAAAGAUGUUGAUGAAGAAAUACUGUACUGCUGUUUUGAGUUACAAAUGUAACACUUUAGAGUACUUAAGCAUCGAAUACAUUUCGAGUUGAGGGAUUUUCACACCAGUAGCCAGGUUCUAAAAAGUCUAUUGUUCUGCUGUUUUCAAAAUGCCUCCAGUUGUUCAUCGCUACUGUAAAUAAAAACACAGCAUCUUGUUUAUGUGUCACAAUAAAGACGUUUGGGAUUUACAAA